GUUUUUUGGAGGGGCUCACUUCAGCAGGACAUCAACUAACACUGAAAUCACGCAGAGAAAAUUAGUAUGGCCCCAGCACAAGGGUGACACACAAAUUUGUGAAGCAGUCCAUACUAAA
ensembl:snRNA U6 U6 spliceosomal RNA